UUUCCAGGCCCUACGGGGGGCAGCAGUAGGGAAUAUUGGACAAUGGGGGCAACCCUGAUCCAGCAAUGCCGCGUGAGUGAUGAAGGCCUUAGGGUUGUAAAGCUCUUUUACCCGGGAUGAUAAUGACAGUAC
rnacentral:rRNA from 2 species